UAGGGAAUUUUCCACAAUGGGCGCAAGCCUGAUGGAGCAACGCCGCGUGCAGGAUGAAGGCCUUAGGGUUGUAAACUGCUUUUCUCUGUGAAGAUUAUGACGGUAGCAGAGGAAUAAGGACCGGCUAACUACGUGCCAGCAGCCGCGGUCAUACGUAGGGUCCAAGCGUUAUCCGGAAUUACUGGGCGUAAAGAGUUGCGUAGGUGGCAGAGUAAGUUGGUAGUGAAAUCGUUCGGCUCAACCGGAUAUACAUUACCAAAACUGCUCAGCUCGAAGACAAGAGAGGUACCUGGAAUUCUCAGUGUAGGAGUGAAAUCCGUAGAUAUUGGGAGGAACACCGAUGGCGUAGGCAGGGUACUGGCUUGUUCUUGACACUAAGGCACGAAAGCGUGGGGAGCGAACGGGAUUAGAUACCCCCGUAGUCC
rnacentral:rRNA from 1 species